rnacentral:rRNA from 1 species
UACAGAGGUCUCAAGCGUUGUUCGGAUUCAUUGGGCGUAAAGGGUGUGUAGGUGGCGCGCUAAGUCGGGUGUGAAAUCCCCAGGCUUAACCUGGGAACUGCAUUCGAGACUGCAUUGCUAGAGUAUGGGAGAGGGAAGUGGAAUUUCCGGUGUAGCGGUGAAAUGCGUAGAUAUCGGAAGGAACAUCAGUGGCGAAAGCGACUUCCUGGACCAAUACUGACGCUCAUGUGCGAAAGCGUGGGGAGCAAACAGG